rnacentral:tRNA from 1 species
GCUGGAGAGAUGGCUCAGCGGUUUAGAGCACUGACUGCUCUUCCGGAGAUCCUGAGUUCAAUUCCCAGCAACCACCAGCU